UCUCUCUCCUGACUUUUUUCUUCUUUGUCUUCUGUCUUCUCUGUCUUCAACCAUUUGGCCCUCUGUCUGGGUGAGGGGUCAGCCUCUUGCCUUUAGUAAUCUCCUAUUUUUCUGCCACCAAACAUUUACACAGAUUCACACACCUCACAUACCUACAUUUUGCUACAGUGACUUUAUUAAUAAAUAAUUUUUAAAAGAGAACCCUGGGCAUCUCUUUGUAGCAAUCAGCAGAAAAACUGUUCCAUGAAUUGAGUGAAAGGAGGCUUCCUUUGAUGGGUAUCAGAUAUGUUUUUGGUUUGUGGUGGUGGUGGUGGGGGCAGGAUUGUUAAAGGGGGUAACCAGAAAAGAAUGGUGAAAACUCAACCCCAUUUCAUUAAACCUUCAUGAAUAUGCAAAAGAGGACUAAUUGCCCUCUUCAAAAACUAAUCAUUCUGAAUUUUACAAGUUGAAUUAUAAAAACCUGACACACUUAUUUUCCUCUUUUAUUAUAUUUGUAAGCAUUACUCCUUUCUGCAAAGAAAAUCAAAUCCUAUUUCUGUCAGCUGCUGUGGCUCCCCCUCCCCCUUUCUGCUGAGACCUGCUUCUUCCCUCUCUCUGCCUAGUGCUGCUGCAGCCUGGCCAUGUGUAUUAAUUGCCCUGUGAGACACGCUUGAAGUCAUUAGAAUUCCCCGUUCAGAACUAUUAUCUUGUGCCAUUGUGCCUUUGCAUUAUAUUUAUUUAAAUGCGCCUCUUCUGAAUUAGCUCAUUUUUAACAGCUAGCCAUGCCUGAAAUAUCGUCCCAUCCAAGCUGUUCUCAUAUCAUUUUUCUUUCCUUGGUGCAAGAGAUGUCUGCACCCAGCCUUCCAUUCCAACAGGGCAGCUUUGUUAGGAGGUAGAGCUGCUUUGUGCGGCAGCUUCCCAGGAAGAACUUGGUGCUCAGACUCUGUAUGCAAGAAGAUAUCCUCCAGGAAUGGAACGAGUUAGACUCUGAAUAGAGUGUCCUUCCAGGGGCCAUCUGCAUGUUUCCUACCAUUUGAUUUUCAUUGAAAAAUUUUCAUGAAGAAGUCAACACAAGCUUCUAGUCGUUUCUUGGCCCUUUGCAUUAAAGGACUCCCGAGUUGAUGCCAAGUUCUUACUGGCAGAUACUCGGAGCCAUCAGCUGUCUCCAGAGUCACCCUGACUCGGGCAGUGUGAUGAAUUAAAUUUUCUCUCAGGCCUCUGCUUCCCAGGGCUGCUAAGAAAGUUCUGACUGGCAUGGGAAUUUCUGUUUCUCUACUAAGUCUAAACUGACUGGCCUCCAUACCAAACUAGGUUGUUUUUUGUUGUUGUUGUUGUUGUUGUUGUUGCUUUGUUUUGUUUUUUCCUGUUUUCUCUUGUCUACCUCAUAUGUCCAUCUUUUCAUUCAGAACAGACAACAUAGUUUACAGCUGAGCAUACACUUUAUUAUUUGUUGGUGGUUUUGUUGUUGUUGGUGGUGUUUUAUUAAUAAUUAACUAAUUUUACAUCUCAACUGCAGUUUCCCCUCAUUCCUCUUCUCCCAGUCCUCCUUCUCCCCACCUUGUCUCCCCUCUCCCAUUCCAUUCCUCCUCCUUUGACUUCAUUAUUCUUACAACUCCAGACUUCAGAGAGAUUUUUCUCUGGACCAUUGCUGCUUAGCUCAUAGGAUCUCUGUGUCUCAUUUACAUAAAGGCACACCGCCAAAGACACUGCACCCCCUCCCUUAAGUGGGGGCUUGUGGUCUUCUCAUCACGCCUUCAUUAUUCCUUUUAUUUUGUGAGGAAACUGGAAUAAAAGGCCUUAAGCAAGGUUAAUAAUCUAGUGAGUAGUGAAGAAUGAAUUUGAGCACAGGUUCAUAUUAGAUUUAUUUUCUUACCACAACACCAAGCUGGCAGCAUUGGAAAUAAAGUCGAUAUGUUGGCAUGAAUAUUUGGCAGGGGAAAAUCAGGAAAGGCAUUAUGGACAGGGUGGGCCAGAUGUUUGAUUUAAAGCUGGAGAGAAGUGCUUCGUGAUACCGGGAGAAAGAUAAACACAUUUGUCUCUGUAAAAAUAGUAAGUUCAGAUGCCAGCACUCAUGGGGGUCUUGCAAGUCUUAUAAGAUGUAUUGAAGGACAGUCUUUGGGAAUGAUCAUGAAAGUUCUUCAAGUAUAGAAAUAUUUACACAGAAUGUCUAGUUUAUAACCAACCCUUUAACAAGGUUUAUGAAUGAAUGUGAGAUCUUGUUGCCAUGCCCUUGAAGGCAUGUAUGCUGCUAAGACAAGCCAAAGCUUGUACACAUGAGUCACCAGAUCUGAAGUCCAGCAUCAACAACACAUCACCAUCAUCUUGGCUGGCUCUGAAAACAUAUUCUCAAAGUGCUUUAUGAAGAAUGGCAGAGGAAGGAACUUACUGAUUCCUCUGAGUGUUGAAGAGCAUGAAGAGGGAGACCAGCAUGAGGAGAAAUUUUUCUGGCUUUUCAUUCCCCUCAAGAACUUGCUUUCCUUCUGAUCCCCCACAGUGGAGGUUACAGACUCCCUAAGAUCUUAAUAGAAAAGAGGGUAUCUCUGUGAGCUGAAACAGACUGGAAUUCAUUCAUGAGAAAAGAGCUCAACAUAUUGCCUGAUAGGGAUCUGGGAAAGGAAUGAACCCAGAAAUGGUUCUCCGUUGUCCUCCUGGAGUGAUUAUCAGGCUGAGGCAUGGGAGUGAGCUUGAGGGGAUACUGCACAUGUGACUUAUUCAGCUCAUCCCCCGAUGUAGUGCAUCAGGAACAUCUUUCUCUGGCUUCCCAAUUCUUAGAGCAGUACCACAGAGGUUACAUCCUGCUUGAUUUCCUCUUUAGGACUCAUCUGGCACCAUAGACAGCCUUCUGCUGGAGGAACGGAUACUUCCUUGCAACCUCCAUGUAUGAAAUCUCUGAAUAUGAUUUCAGAGAACUCAGAAGAGAGGUUAUGUCUGUGUAGAGAGACUCCUAUCCUUGUCUUUCUUCAAUCCAAGAAACUGUCCCUUACAGCUCCCAAAAUAUGGAUAUAGCCCUUUUCCUUUAUAAAUAGGUAUUUUUUUCAUUUAUCAAGCAAAUGAUCUGAAAAGCAAACCUCCUGGCUUGCUGUUGCAGCCUACAUGUUGAGACCUCCCUUGGCAAUGCCUCCCUUUCUAAGCCAAAGCCCACAGGAUUGUACCUUAGCCUAAGAUUACCCUGGGAUGGUACAGGUUGCUGAGAGCCCUGUCCUCCAGCAUUCACCCGAGAGGAUGAAAUGAAGUAGAUGAUAGGUGGUUUGAGCCAGAGCAAGAUUUUGUAAGAAGACUGGAGGGGCACUUGGCUCAGUCACUAAACACUUAGACCUAACCCUGACUGUGCAGGCCUGUAAUCCCAGGCAAAGACAAAGACAUCCAAGAUAAUAGUUAGGCAACCAGGCUAGCCAAAUCAAUGAGCUCUAGAUUCUGUGAAAACCCCUUUCUCAAAAUAUAAGGUGAACAGCCACAGAGAAAGACGCAGGGCAUUGACCUUGGCUUUCACACAUAUGCAUAUGCAUGUGGACGUGAACCCUCCCCAUCUACCUGCACACACACAAACAUGCUUAAAAAAAUAUGCACACAAGAGUAGAUCAGAGGAUGCAGACCCAGAGCUUUCAACCUCUGUGAGAAAAUAGAGACUCUAAUGGUUGCUGAAUGGUAGAUUCCUACCCCCUCACUUUCAAACACUAUUUUCAUUAGGCUGUCUGAUGACCCUAUUGGCUAAUUCGUUUCCUUCCCCAAAGACUGCUGAAUAAAGCAGGGACUUUAGAUGUGCCCAGUGACUUCACAUCACUGUUCUAUCUGGUUUAAUUUCUUCUUACAAGUCCUCUUCUGAUACCCUUUGCUCUCCCGCAUUCCCAGGUGCCUCACCAACCCAGCUGCUGGACUCAGCCCUCCUCUUCAUAGUUGGCCCAUGGCAACUCUUCCUGAUCCCUUCACCCUUUGAUUUGUCCAUUGACAGAGAAAUUUGGAGAUAAAUUUAUAGGUAGAAUAAACUUGCUUCAUGACUCAAAGCUAUUUAUGUAAAAUCAGCUCCUAACACCGGCCUGAUUUUCCAGCAAAAAACUCGGAUGUGGGAUGGAGUAAAUAAGUCUCUUUUAAAUCUCUAAAUGCUCACAUAUUUUCCCGAGGUCAGCAAAUGGUUGACUUAAGAGGGAGAUAUUGUGAUUUGUGCCCAAGAAACUUAAAGUAUGAGGGAUCAUAGCUUCAUCUCUAAAACGGAAAUAAUGAUUACAUCAACCUUCAUGGGGCUGGUGUUUGAAUUAAAAUGUGGUACUAUUUGUAACUGUUUUUUUCUUUUCUUUUCUUUUUUUACAACACUAUAAGCAUAAGACAUAUUGUUCGUGCUGGUUGGAGGCAGAUGUCUUGACAGGAAAUCUCUGGAGGUCGCUCUCAGUGUAAACAUCCCAUGAUUCUCUGCCUCAGACAGGGAGAUGAACUGCUGCAGCUGCUGCCCUUAGCAACGGGCCUGCUGAGCGGCAGGCUGCAAUUAACUAUAGCAGCCGCUAGAUGGCACGUCCCUUGAAAAAACUUCUGCCACAGAACAUCUAGUCCUUCCAGUCUUGGUUCAAACCUACAGAGUUGAGAAGACCAAAGCUUCUUGUAUAUCUAUGAAGAAGUUCCCUGUAAGGAGUUGGCCUUCAAGACUGGACACUAGGUACAUCUGGACAACAAGAACCAUCCUGUUGAUGACACAUGCUUCCUGUGGGAUAAGAUGGCUAAGAGAUGUCUGCUGAAUUUGAAGACCACUACCCAGUAAGACUCCAGCACCAGGCUAGAUCUUAAAUCGUGAUUAUAAAGAAACUUGUGCCUGUUGGGAUAUGUAAAACAUAGUUCUGAAGCAAUGGCUACCACUGUUGUCUAGUGUCAGCUGAAUGGGCACCACCUGGACUUUCUCAGAAGUGGAAUCGGCAGUAUCAGAGCCAGAUCUACAUAAAGAACUGGAGGAAGAAGAUACAGCAUGUGUUUCCACCAGACCUUCAGUUGGCUCUGAUCCCUGAUAGCCUUCAAGAACCCUGCUCUGGAGCUAGCCCACCCAUAGAGUGUGUCAGAGUCAAUAAAAAGUGUCUUCUCUGAA